AAGGAAUUAAGAGGUGAGAUUUACAUUUACUGAAAGUUAACUCAUUUUUAAACAAACUUUAUGAAGAACGUUGGAGCAAAUUCGGAUUUUCAUUUGGUGCUUUUUGAUGAAGAAAACAGGGCAGUUGGUUUUCACUCGAAAUCAGGAGGUCUCUGGUUUUUCUUGUAUUUCAGAGUGUAUCGGUGGAGUUAGAAUUUCUAUUUGGUAUGGUUGGAAAGCUUAUUCAAUUUACUACAACUUUCAUGAAGACAUUGUAAACCAAAAACGACUAAACAUUGGUUAAAUUGUAGGAACAAGUUAAAGAGGUCGUGUGCGCGCGAUUCUGGAAGUGGUUCUGUUUUGAGGGUUAUAUGUGUUUAUGCACGGGGAAUCAGAUUUAUAUGUGUUUAUGCACUGGAAAUUUUAGAAUUUUUGAAAUAGGAUUUUAUUUCUUAAGCUUUGUUUUCGUGAGCGUCAUCUUUGGUGCGACAUGUUAUGUAUAUCUUUAGGAAAUCAGAAUGUUUAGGGUUUUAAUACUCGGUUGGGUUGUUGGCAGGCCGAGAAGAAUUAAACCGAGCUUAUAGACCAAGGAUCUAGCCCAAGACUGUGAGUGACAAAACCAACUUUGAAAUAUUUUCCAUAACUGUUAUUAUGAUUGAAUGCGAUAAAUGUUUAUUUACGAAGCCAUGAAAGGUAUUUGAAUUUCAUGACUAUUUUCAAGUAUACAUUUGAAGACUAGAUUUCUUAAAGAAAUUUAUGCUAGCACGUAGAUAUUAAAUGUUUGGAAAGUAUUUAAACCACAAUAUUUUAAGCAAAGCAUGAAUUAGUAUGAAGUUUUGUUUUAAGAACUACAAUUUUCCACGAAAGAGCUGAGUAAAGUUCGAGCUUUGUGUAAAAUUUAUAAGCAGGCAUGUUUUAAUAUUUUAUGAUGAUUUAUGGAAUUUUCAUUAACUACAUGACUGAGAUCUUGAGCCUGAGGCUAGAGAUUACCGUGUGCACACUGGUUAGAUUUCGUUGUUGACGUUGAGUGUACUCCGUAACAACGAUGCUGUCGUGAGUGCUGGGCGGGCCCCACUACGACAAAGACGAUGGGAGUGUUGGGCGGGCCCCACUACAUCGUAGUGCUUGUAAACGUUGUUGUACUAGGUGUACCCUACACAACGUAGAUUCAUCAUGUUAGUUAAAAUGCUUCGAUAUACUUGAUAUGCCUUGCUAGAUUUCAAUGAUGAACAUGCUGAGUAUUUAAGGAAGCUAUUCUUACUAUUACACAUUUACAUUUACUACUUGUAUAAACAGAUUUAUAUGUGUAAAGUUUUCACGUGCUCUUAUCUUUAAUUCAUAGUUUUAAACUGAGUCACUCACUGAGCUCCAUAGCUCACCCUUUCCAAAAUGUUUUACCCAUUUUCCAGGUAGAGAUCGACUUCCCGGUGCCUGAUAGACUGCCUUAGUCUGCGGAAGCUUCAUUAUCGAUUGCCAGUACGUGUUUUUAGUUGGGCAUAAAGUCUGUUGUGUUGUGAUGUAUUCACACCCUUGUAUGUUAUAGAUACUCCACAGUUUGUAUAAGCUUUAGGAGCUGUAGUUGUGUAAAUUUUGUUGGUUAUAUUUUGAUUAAGGUGUCUUUAGGUUUACUCGUGAAAUCGGUAAAUUUUGAGGUACACUUCAUGU